rnacentral:misc_RNA from 1 species
UCCGGUUUGUCACCGGCAGUCUCAUUAGAGUGCCCAACUGAAUGUAGCAACUAAUGACAAGGGUUGCGCUCGUUGCGGGACUUAACCCAACAUCUCACGACACGAGCUGACGACAGCCAUGCAGCACCUGUGUUACGGCUCUCUUUCGAGCACGAAGCCAUCUCUGGCAACUUCCGUACAUGUCAAAGGUGGGUAAGGUUUUUCGCGUUGCAUCGAAUUAAACCACAUCAUCCACCGCUCGUGCGGGUCCCCGUCAAUUCCUUUGAGUUUUAAUCUUGCGACCGUACUUCCCAGGCGGAAUACUUAACGCGUUAGCUUCGGCACUGAGGGGGUCAAUACCUCCAACACCAAGUAUUCAUCGUUUACGGCGUGGACUAC